GUGGGGAAUAUUGGACAAUGGGCGCAAGCCUGAUCCAGCCAUGCCGCGUGAGUGAUGAAGGCCUUAGGGUUGUAAAGCUCUUUCAGUGGGGACGAUAAUGACGGUACCCACAGAAGAAGCCCCGGCUAACUUCGUGCCAGCAGCCGCGGUAAUACGAAGGGGGCUAGCGUUGUUCGGAAUUACUGGGCGUAAAGCGCACGUAGGCGGAUAUUUAAGUCGGGGGUGAAAUCCUGGAGCUCAACUCCAGAACUGCCUUCGAUACUGGCGAUCUUGAGUCCGGAAGAGGUGAGUGGAACUCCUAGUGUAGAGGUGGAAUUCGUAGAUAUUAGGAAGAACACCAGUGGCGAAGGCGGCUCACUGGUCCGGUACUGACGCUGAGGUGCGAAAGCGUGGGGAGCAAACAGGAUUAGAAACCCGGGUAGUCC
rnacentral:rRNA from 1 species